GCUUUCGUAGCUCAGUGGCAGAGCAUAGGAUUUUUAAUCCUAGGGUCGAAGGUUCGAAUCCUUCCGUUGGCACAA
rnacentral:tRNA from 1 species